rnacentral:tRNA from 1 species
GCGCCUUUAGCUCAGUUGGUAGAGCAGUAGACUCUUAAUCUAUUUGUCCAGGGUUCGAAUCCCUGAAGACGCA